rnacentral:lncRNA from 1 species
ACCCUCAGACGUUCAAGUCAAAAAUCUGAUAAUAGGAAAGAAGAAGUGAGCGUAUUGAGAGAAAGAAGAGAUUUCAUACAUUAAGGAUCAGAUGGAGGCUAAAGAGUCGUGACAAGAAAGAGAAUCAGAUGAUUAGCCUUAACUUAUCUGAAGAGAUAUGGUCAUUAUCUUUCUUUUAUUUGGAGAGAUUUUAUUUGUUAUUUUUUGUUAUCUACUCUGCUGCCAAUGAUCAUUUAAAUUUUGAAAGAGACACGUGUUUUGAAGAUCCAUGAGGGUCCAUCCUUUCUUGUGGGCUUCACAUCUUCAGCCAGAACGAAAUUAUCUCCAACAUUAGCCCUCCUACUCUCGAGUCCGAAUCAGAAUGGGGUUAGACGAAAGGAGUACCUCAGCUUUACCGAAGACGUAUUAUGUCUAUAGCUUUCGAUAAGGUGAGGAGUCUUAUUGUCUUCAAUGACUAAACCGAUCAAAGACCGUCUUAUUAUCUUCAAUGACUGAGCUGAUCAAAAGCCGUCUUUUUAUCUGUUGUUGGAGUUGACGAAUUGAGAGUCCUUGUAGGUUAUCCCUCAUUUGUUAUCAAAGUCGAUGGGCUGAGGGUCCUUAACAGUUAUCUCUCCGAAGGUCUAUAUAAGUUAGCCUCCACUUCUCGUACAGCUAAGGUCUUCAUGGGUGUUGACUCGCUAAAAAAUAAGGUUCAGCCUUCAAAGGCCCUCAUAGGUCAUCCCCCGCUUCUUAGCCAUAGAGGUCUUUUGCCCAUACAAUUCCCUCUUGUGCGACUAAGAUAUUCAUGGGCAUUGACUUGCUGAAAAGCGAGUUUGACCUUCGAAAGCCC